rnacentral:misc_RNA from 1 species
GAUGAAGAACGCAGCGAAAUGCGAUACGUAAUGUGAAUUGCAGAAUUCAGUGAAUCAUCGAAUCUUUGAACGCAUAUUGCGCUCUCUGGUAUUCCGGAGAGCAUGCUUGUUUGAGUAUCAGUAAACACCUCAACUCCCCUUUCUUUUUUUGAAAUGGGAGCUGGACUUGAGUGAUCCCAACGCUUUUCUCACCGAAAAGUGGCGGGUUACUUGAAAUGCAGGUGCAGCUGGACUGUUCUCUGAGCUAAAAGCAUAUCUAUUUAGUCUGCCUAAAAAACAGAUUAUUACCUUUGCUGCAGCUAACAUAAAGGAGAUUAGUUCUUGUGCUGACUGAUGCAGGAUUCACAGAGACAGCUUCGGCUGGCCUUUGUAAACUCGAUCUCAAAUCAAGUAAGACUACCCGCUGAACUUAAGCAUAUCAAUAAGCGGAGGA